rnacentral:rRNA from 1 species
AGCAGCAGCCACGGUAAUACGGAGGGUGCAAGCGUUAAUCGGAAUUACUGGGCGUAAAGCGCACGCAGGCGGUCUGACAAGUCAGAUGUGAAAUCCCCGGGCUUAACCUGGGAACUGCAUUUGAAACUGUCAGGCUGGAGUCUUGUAGAGGGGGGUAGAAUUCCAGGUGUAGCGGUGAAAUGCGUAGAGAUCUGGAGGAAUACCGAUGGCGAAGGCAGCCAUCUGGCCUAAUACUGACGCUGAGGUACGAAAGCAUGGGGAGCAAACAGGAUUAGAUACCCCUGUAGUCCCUGUCUCUUAUAC